rnacentral:rRNA from 1 species
CGAUCAGUAGCCGACCUGAGAGGGUGAUCGGCCACAUUGGAACUGAGACACGGUCCAAACUCCUACGGGAGGCAGCAGUGGGGAAUAUUGCACAAUGGGCGAAAGCCUGAUGCAGCAACGCCGCGUGAGUGAUGAAGGCCUUCGGGUCGUAAAACUCUGUCCUCCAGGAAGAUAAUGACGGUACUUGAGGAGGAAGCCCCGGCUAACUACGUGCCAGCAGCCGCGGUAAUACGUAGGGGGCUAGCGUUAUCCGGAUUUACUGGGCGUAAAGGGUGCGUAGGCGGUCUUUCAAGUCAGG